AAAAUGGCAAACCCUGGGUUUCUGUGUCCAACUUUAACUGUCCGUCUUAUAUGAAAUUUUUUGUAAUUCGUAUUUUCAUUGUUGUUAGAUGAUAACGCAUGAUUAAUAUUUUAUGCGUGACUUGUCUUUUUUAUUUUUUUAUAAUUUUUUCAAAUAAGACGAACGGUUAAAUGUUGGGCACGGAAACCAGGGUUUGUCUUUUU
rfam:Oryza barthii chromosome 7, whole genome shotgun sequence.